AGGUCCGCGGCGUGCCUCCAACCCGGCGCCUGCAGCCCCGGGGCAACAAGCUUCAGACAAAAGUGAAGCAAAUUAAAGUCCAUCCCGCCAUCCUUCCAAAGAGCAAAGAAAGUCCAUGGAAAUUCAUCAACAUCCAGGAUGCUCAGGAGCUUCCAGGUUCAACAGAUGCGUGAGAUCCAUAGCAGAAACAUUGCUGUCCUCUUCAGAUUCAAGUACGGGUGAAAGUCAAGCUCUGGGAUACUGGAGCAGGGCUAUAUAAUUCUCUUUCCCUUGUAAUUUCAUUAAAAAAGAUUAAGGAAACCCUUGAAAAGUUGUAGAUACCUAAAAUUUUGGCCGUGCAUUGAUCAUCCACAAAAAGUGAAAGAUCACAAGUGAUCAAGCCACAUGUGUGAAAAAUCUCAAAUACACUUUGGGAGGCCGAGGCGGGCCGAUCAUAAGGUCAGGAGAUCGACACCAUCCUGGCUAACAGGGUGAAACCCCGUCUCUACUAAAAAUACAAAAAAUUAGCUGGGCAUGGUGGUGGGCACCUGUAGUCCCAGCUACUGGGAAGACUGAGGCAGAAGAAUGGCGUGAACCCGGGAGGCGAAGCUUGCAGUGAGCCGAGAUCGCACCACUGCACUCUAGCCUGGGCAACAGAGCGAGACUCCAUCUCAAAAAAAAAAAAAAAAAAAAAAAGAAAGAAAACUCUCAAAUAACUCUUGAUUCAAAUAGUCAACAUAACUCCUGGAGGAAAAAAAAAAGCAUUUCUACAUUGAGAGAGACAUUGCUAUAGUCCCC
rnacentral:lncRNA from 1 species